rnacentral:rRNA from 1 species
UACGUAGGGUCCGAGCGUUGUCCGGAAUUAUUGGGCGUAAAGAGCUCGUAGGCGGUCUGUCGCGUCGGCUGUGAAAACCCGAGGCUCAACCUCGGGCCUGCAGCCGAUACGGGCAGACUAGAGUUCGGCAGGGGAGACUGGAAUUCCUGGUGUAGCGGUGAAAUGCGCAGAUAUCAGGAGGAACACCGGUGGCGAAGGCGGGUCUCUGGGCCGAUACUGACACUGAGGAGCGAAAGCGUGGGGAGCGAACAGG